AAUUUCAGUGAUGAGAAAUAUUAUCAUUUAAACAGUUAUCCCUGUCUUAAAAUCCGUGUCGAGAUUAUUUAACUCUGAAGAAACA
rnacentral:snoRNA from 2 species